rnacentral:lncRNA from 1 species
UAAUGACUCCACAUGGAAAUCUUGUCAAUUGUGAGGAAUGGGAAUUAAUGACAUUGGCUGCUAAAAUGGAGUGAAGAAGGUAGGUGAACAGCUCUGGUCUAAGACCAAGGUUCCCAUGCAGGACUUGGUUUUUCUGCUGGGCUUUAAGACCCCAAAGCCCAAGAAAAUGCUAUCGUCUUAUGAAAUUUCCAAGAAGAAGACCAUCCACCUCACCUUAAAGGUGGUGAAGCCCAAGAUGCGGAGCUGCCCAUGUUUCUGGUGGAAACAUGUGAUGAGGAGCAGAGAAAUCUCCUCCUGGCAUGACUUAAUUUAAAAAAAUAUGGUAGAUUAUGGCAUCAGAAAGGACAAAUUACAUUUCUUGACAUACCACUCCACUGGAGGU